rnacentral:rRNA from 1 species
UGAGCAACCUACCGAACUGUGGGGGAUAGCCGGCCUAACGGCCGAGUAAUACCGCAUACGCUUUCAGUGAGGCAUUUCAUUGAAAGGAAACCUACGGGACAGAUCGAGGGGCUCGCGGCCUAUCAGCUAGUUGGCGAGGUAACGGCUCACCAAGGCAACGACAGGUAGCUGGUCUGAGAGGAUGGCCAGCCACAUUGGGACUGAGAUACGGCCCAG